GAGGAAUAUUGGUCAAUGGACGCAAGUCUGAACCAGCCAUGCCGCGUGAAGGAUGAAGGCCUUCUGGGUUGUAAACUUCUUUUACCUGGGAAGAAAACUACGAUUUCUAUCGUAGCCGACGGUACCAGAGGAAUAAGCACCGGCUAACUCCGUGCCAGCAGCCGCGGUAAUACGGAGGGUGCAAGCGUUAUCCGGAUUUACUGGGUUUAAAGGGUGUGUAGGCGGGCUUUUAAGUCAGUGGUGAAAUCUCCGGGCUCAACCUGGAAACUGCCAUUGAUACUAUUAGUCUUGAAUUUUGUUGAGGUAGGCGGAAUAAGUCAUGUAGCGGUGAAAUGCUUAGAUAUGACUUAGAACACCAAUUGCGAAGGCAGCUUGCUAAACAAAUAUUGACGCUGAGGCACGAAAGCGUGGGGAUCAAAC
rnacentral:rRNA from 1 species